rnacentral:lncRNA from 1 species
UGCAGAAGUCUCGUGAGACUUCCUAGCAGUAUAAAUGGUUUGAAAUCCCUCAAAACUUUGAAUCUCUCAGGCUGCUUCAAACUUGAAAAUGUGCCUGAGACGCUUGGGCAAGUAGAAAGUUUGGAAAAACUUGAUAUAAGUGGUACAGCUAUAAGGCAACCUCAAUCGUCAAUUUUUCUUAUGAAGAAUCUUAGAGAACUAUAUUGUCGUGGGUGCAAAGGAUCACCAUCAUCUGCAUCAUGGUUUCUGCGCUUCCCUAUCAAUUUGAUGCGAUGGAGUUCAUGAAUGACUGCAGAAGUCUCGUGAGACUUCCUAGCAGUAUAAAUGGUUUGAAAUCCCUCAAAACUUUGAAUCUCUCAGGCUGCUUCAAACUUGAAAAUGUGCCUGAGACGCUUGGGCAAGUAGAAAGUUUGGAAAAACUUGAUAUAAGUGGUACAGCUAUAAGGCAACCUCCAUCGUCGAUUUUUCUUAUGAAGAAUCUUAAAGGACUAUCUUGUCGUGGGUGCAAAGGAUCACCAUCAUCUGCAUCAUGGUUUCUGCGCUUUCCUAU